rnacentral:tRNA from 1 species
GUGGUUGUAGCUCAGUUGGUUAGAGCGCCUGGUUGUGGCCCAGGAGGUCGGGGGUUCAAGUCCCCUCAUCCACCCCA